GACGAACGCUGGCGGCGUGCUUAACACAUGCAAGUCGAACGGAAAGGCCCUGCUUGCAGGGUACUCGAGUGGCGAACGGGUGAGAAACACGUGGGUGAUCUGCCCUGCACUUCGGGAUAAGCCUGGGAAACUGGGUCUAAUACCGGAUAGGAGCCAUUUUUAGUGUGAUGGUUGGAAAGUUUUUUCGGUGUAGGAUGAGCUCGCGGCCUAUCAGCUUGUUGGUGGGGUAAUGGCCUACCAAGGCGGCGACGGGUAGCCGGCCUGAGAGGGUGGACGGCCACAUUGGGACUGAGAUACGGCCCAGACUCCUACGGGAGGCAGCAGUGGGGAAUAUUGCACAAUGGGCGCAAGCCUGAUGCAGCGACGCCGCGUGGGGGAUGACGGCCUUCGGGUUGUAAACUCCUUACGCUAGGGACGAAGCUUUUUGUGACGGUACCUAGAUAAGAAGCACCGGCUAACUACGUG
rnacentral:rRNA from 1 species